rnacentral:rRNA from 1 species
CCUACGGGCGGCAGCAGUGAGGAAUAUUGGUCAAUGGGCGGAAGCCUGAACCAGCCAAGUCGCGUGAGGGAAGACGGUCCUACGGAUUGUAAACCUCUUUUGCCGGGGAGCAACGGGGUCCUUGCGAGGGCCCGAUGAUAGUCCCCGGAGAAAAAGCAUCGGCUAACUCCGUGCCAGCAGACGCGGUAAUACGGAGGAUGCGAGCGUUAUCCGGAUUUAGUGGGUUUAAAGGGUUCGUAGGCGGGCUGUUAAGUCAGCGGUCAAAUGUCGGGGCUCAACCCCGGCCUGCAGUGGAAACUGGCGGCCUCGAGUGGGCGAGAAGGAUGCGGAAUGCGUGGUGUAGCGGUGAAAUGCAUAGAUAUCACGAAGAACUCCGAUUGCGAAGGCAGCAUACCGGCGCCCGACUGACGCUGAGGCACGAAAGCGUGGGUAUCGAACAGGAUUAGAGACCCGUGUAGUC